AACUGGCUUUAUAUAAGAUUCCAAAGCUUUUGGAAACUUUGUUUUCCACUAAUUUAAUAUGUUCUCUCCAAGUUAAAUUUUCGUCUAGGAGAACUGCAAGAAAUUUCAUUGAAUAUUCUGUUCUUAUGUUUACAUGAUCAAUAACUAAUCCAGGUAACCUAAGAGGAUCUCAUGGUUGACUGUAUCGAAUGAUUUGCUGAGAUCAAUAAAGACCCCAAUUGUAAAUUUAUUCUCAUCAAAGGCUUGAAAUAUUUCCUGACUCAACUGAAUGAUUGCGUGAUCAGUUGAAUGACCUGCUUGAAAUCAAAUUGCUUAUUAUACAAAAUAUUGUUAUUGUUCAAGAAUAAAUAAACUCUGUUGUACAUGAUUCUCUCUGAAAUCUUCGAGAAGCAAGGGAGUAUUGAAAUUGGUCUGUAGUUAGAUACUUUACAAACUUCUCCUGCUUUAAAGACUGGGACAACUCUAGCUAUUUUUAACUUUUUAGGAACAAUGCCUGUAAUUAGAGAUGAAUUAAAUAUAUGCAGUAGUGGAGAUUUUAGCCAGGACUUUUGUUGAUUUGCAAAGAAUGAAAUGCUGCUUCUAGUUCCUCCUCACUUAGCUCUUUUUUCUCUAUUUCAUUAUCAUGAUAUGACAAAUACGAUCUAAAGAAUUUUGCACUGUGACCUAUUUUCGACGCCAGGGUCGGCCCCACUUUAGUGAAAAAAUUGUUAAAUUCUUCAGCUAUCAAAGAUGGUUCUUCAAUUUCAUUUUCGUCAUUUACAAGUUUUGAAGGAAAAUUAUUACUUCUAAUUUUUAUUUUACCAAUCACUUCCUUGAUGAUAUUCCAUGUUUUUCUUGCAUUAUGUUUGUAUUUAUUAAUUUGUUCAUUGAAGUAAAAAUUCUUAGCACGCUUUUUUAUCAAUUCAAAAAGUUUUUUAUAAUUUUUAUACAGUGUUUCAUUCCUGUAGGUUUUCUUUCUUAAAUACUUUUCAUAUAGUUUUUGUUUUCUUCGGGAAGAUUUUUGGAGGCCCCUAGUCAUCCAGGAAUUAAAGAAUAUUUUGGUUUUAAUAAACUUAAUUUCUUCUGGAAAUGCCGCAUCAUAACUUUCUAAAAAAAUUUUCAGAAAGCUAUCAUAUGCGAAAUUUGCAUCCGUUGCUUUUACCACGUCGUCCCAUUUUACCUUAGCCAAUAAAUACUUAAAUAAUGUUAUUGUAUUUUCAUUUAUUUUUCGCUUUUUUAUUUUUACAUGGCUUGACUGUUUCUCAAAGUUUGUAUUGGACGUGAUAAAGACGAGAAUAUGAUCAGAGAUGUCUGUUUUGAUAAUACCUGAAUGUAGUUAUUUGUCGCAAAAUGAAUUUGUUAUGAUGUGAUCAAUUACUGUUUUGUUUAGUUACCCGGGUUGGUUUAUUUAUGAGAGGAAUAUACCCACUUUGAAAUAUAAAGUUAAAGAAA